UCCAUGGAACAGCAUCAAAUGCAGCAUACUUAUCAUACUCACCUUCCAAAAUUUGCAAUUCAACAAUGGAAAUGUCAUUUUCCAUCCCUCUCCCUCUUCCCACCAUCCCUCCCCUAUCAUAAGGCCCUUUAUUUUUUUGCAGACCUCCCCACCUUGCCCUCUCCCCCUCUUCCCCCUAUUCCUUCUUCACCAUCAUCCCCACCAUCAUCACCACCGUCGACGCUGUUACUACUCUGUUCCUUACAUCAGAUUGGUGCAGUGACAUUUGUGGCUUAUGAGUUUACAUCAGAUUGGUUAGAGUACAUUUUACUUCAACCUAACCCAGAUUUCCAUUUUUAUUUUCCUUCUCAUCUAUUACAUGAUUCAUUCUUUUUCAUUUUUGGCCUUUCUAAAGCAGUGAAAAUAAACAUAAGCUGGAAGCAAUUAUCAUAAUGCGAAAUCGCGUUGCGCCGAUUAUUAGUUUAAAUGCAAGCUUCCAACUUGCUUUAAAAAGGCCACUCUACUUCCACCAAGAUCUAGUCUAUACAUAUUCUUCCCCUGUUUUGUUCUUAAAAUAGUUCACUUUCCAAUGAGUUUCAAACUAGCAGGGUAUAAAAGGGAAAUGGAGAAACCCUUCAUUCUUCAUUUUGUUUUUGGUGUUUUGUCUAUUUUGGGCAUUUCUUUGAUGAAUGUUGAAUACCCUUACUUAUAUUUCGCCUGGACUCUUACUUAUGGUACCCGUUCUAUUCUUGGAGUUCCCCGGUUAUCCUUAUCAAUGGGCAGUUCCUUGGACCAAAACUUGAUGUAGUGACUAAUAACAGCAUUAUCUUGAAUCUCAUUAACAAGCUUGACCAGCCUUUCUUGUUGACAUGGUAUACACUCGUUCUUCUCAUUUUACACUUUGUUCUUUGCAUAUGAAUCUAGGAAAUGAUGGAAGCAUGAGUGAAGAAGAUGAACCAAGUUACAACGAAGAUGGAAAUGGUUAGAAGUGCAAAGGCAAGAAUGGAUGGCCAUGGAAGAGAAUGAAGGACAAUGUAGUUUGGCUUCUAAUAGCAGUGGUGGUGGGGAAGAUGGGGAGGGGGAGAGAAAAUCAAAGUAGGGGAGGGAUUGUGGGAAGAGGGAGGGAUAGAAAAUGGCAUUUCCAUUAAGUAUAUAACACUCAUGUAACGGAAAAUGGUUAGUGGUAACUAUUUUGUUAUAUUUCAAAAAUUGUGUGACUGAAUUGAAACUUAAGUAAAUGUUUUGUUAACUAUCCUAAAGUUGAAUGAUUGUUGAUAUAAU